rnacentral:lncRNA from 9 species
GACGGAGCCAUUGAUCUGAGAUUUUUCUGUAGCUGUGACAAGGGAAGAUUGGAAUUUUAGAGAGACGCCAGGUCUGUCCAACAACCAUCGGAGCGAGAUCCCAGCAGAUCUGGCCGACUGCCCCAAGCUCAAGGAGACCUGCUUCCAAAGAACCAGGCUGCAGGACAAGUGCCUGCAGAUGGUCCACAGCUGCCAGACCAGGUUUAUCCUGGAGUACCUGUGCCCUGGGGGCCAAGACAAGGCCAAGACCAGAGAAGGAAGAGGAAGGAGCUGAGGGAUAGAGACAAAGGUGUGUGCCUUCGAACCAGACCAGGCCGGGAGGAGAGGCCGCCUGGCCGGUGACCUUGACCAUCACUCCAGCCAAAUGCCUCAGUUUCUUCCCUGGAAAACAGGAUGCAGCAGGACCCAGAUCGGUUGGACGGGAGCUAGAGGUGGUUAACGGGACCAGGGCCUCAUCUCCCCAGGGUGCCAGUGUUCCUGGAGUUUCUGAUAUGUUGGUGGGUUCCUGAUUUCUGUAAUAAAUGACACAUUUAGUCUCAUGUGAGAUAUAUAUUAAAGUUGUCAGCUCUUCUUGUUCUUAGGUGAGUUGUUUAGUUUUUAAGUUUUAGUUAGAUGAUUUUGUUCUUUUUCUGUGAAGUUGGCCCAGCUUUGAAAAUAAAAGGUACAUCCUUGCACAUGGGAAACCCCUCAUGUGGCCUGCAGGUCUGAGGCCGCCUUGUGGAAGGCCA